rnacentral:rRNA from 1 species
AUGGCGGAAGGCACAGGCUCUCAGAGGAAAUACGGGAAGGAGACCACGGAGGAACUGCUGGCAAGGCUGACUUUGCAGGAGGAGGAGGAUGACGAUUUCAUCUGGGAAGAGGAACUGCCGGACAUGGGAGCCACAAAGUGGCUAGCCAUCGCUCGUGUACACACGCCAAAGUCGUUCAGCCCCAACGCACUGUAUGGAGACAUGCAGGCAGCCUGGAACCCCGCUAAAAAAGUUGAGUGGAGGAAGAUCAAGAGUAACCUGUUCACGGUGCAAUUCGGGUGUCUGGGUGAUUGG